rnacentral:rRNA from 1 species
GAUGAACGCUGGCGGCGUGCCUAAUACAUGCAAGUCGAGCGAACAGACGAGGAGCUUGCUCCUCUGACGUUAGCGGCGGACGGGUGAGUAACACGUGGAUAACCUACCUAUAAGACUGGGAUAACUUUGGGAAACCGGAGCUAAUACCGGAUAAUAUAUUGACCCGCAUGGUUCAAUAGUGAAAGACGGUUUUGCUGUCACUUGUAGAUGGAUCCGCGCCGCAUUAGCUAGUUGGUAAGGUAAGGGCUCACCAAGGAGACGGUGGGUAGCCGACCUGAGAGGGGGGCCGGCCACACGGGGACUGAGACACGGCCCGGACUCGUACGGGGGACAGCAGUGGGGAAUAUUGAAUGAUGGGCGCAAGCCUGAGGAAGCGAGCCCGGGUGAGGGAAGACGGCCUUCGGGUUGUAAACAUAGAUCAGGAGGGAAGAAGCGAAAGUGACGGUACCUGCAGAAGAAGCACCGGCUAACUACGUG